rnacentral:rRNA from 1 species
UGGUCAAGUUAUUAAGGGUGCAGGGCGGAUGCCUUGGCACUAGGAGCCGAUGAAGGACGUGAUAAGCUGCGAUAAGCUUCGGGGAGUUGCACGUAAACUUUGAUCCGAAGAUUUCCGAAUGAGGAAACUCACUUAGAGUAAUGUCUAAGUAUCAUUAAGUGAAUACAUAGCUUAAUGAGGGGAACUCAGGGAACUGAAACAUCUAAGUACCUGAAGGAAGAGAAAGAAAUUCGAUUCCGUAAGUAGCGGCGAGCGAACGCGGAUUAGCCCAAACCAAUAAAGUUUUCUUUAUUGGGGUUGCGGACAUAUCAUAACGAAGAGGUAUCGUAAUUGAAGAGGUUUGGAAAGACCUACCACAGAAGGUAAUAGUCCUGUAUGUUAAACGAGAAGACUUUAGAUAUGAUCCAGAGUACCACGGGACACGUGAAACCCUGUGGGAAGCAGGAGGGACCACCCUCCAAGGCUAAAUACUACCUAGUGACCGAUAGCGUAUAGUACCGUGAGGGAAAGGUGAAAAGAACCCCGGGAGGGGAGUGAAAUAGAACCUGAAACCCUGCACUUACAAGCUGUGGAAGCACAUUUCUUGUGUGACCGCGUACUUUUUGUAGAACGGGCCAACGAGUUACGUUAAGUAGCAAGGUUAAGCACUUAAGGUGCGGAGCCGUAGCGAAAGCGAGUUUUAACUGAGCGUUCAGUUACUUGACGUAGACCCGAAACCGGGCGACCUACCCAUGAGCAGGAUGAAGCGAAAGUAAAAUUUCGUGGAGGUCCGAACCCACGAGCGUUGAAAAGCUCGGGGAUGACUUGUGGGUAGCGGUGAAAUUCCAAUCGAGCCCGGAGAUAGCUGGUUCUCCCCGAAAUAGCUUUAGGGCUAGCCUCAAGGUGAGAGAUACGGAGGUAGAGCACUGAAUGUCCUAGGGGGUAUUGCACCUACCGAAGACUAUCAAACUCCGAAUGCCGUCAUCUUAUACUUGGGAGUCAGACUGUGGGUGAUAAGAUUCAUAGUCGAAAGGGCAACAGCCCAGAUCGUCAGCUAAGGUCCCUAAAUGUAAGUUAAGUGGUAAAGGAUGUGGGAUUGCACAGACAACCAGGAUGUUGGCUUAGAAGCAGCCACUCAUUCAAAGAGUGCGUAAUAGCUCACUGGUCGAGUGAUCCUGCGCCGAAGAUUUCCGGGGCUAAAACUUACUACCGAAGCUACGGCAUCAGUAAUGAUGGGUAGGGGAGCUUCCCAUACGGGUUGAAGCAUGACCGUAAGGACAUGUGGACAGUAUGGGAGUGAGAAUGUUGGCAUGAGUAGCGAGAUGUGGGUGAGAAUCCCACAGGCCGUAAACCCAAGGUUUCCAGGGGAAGGUUCGUCCGCCCUGGGUUAGUCGGGACCUAAGCUGAGGCCGAAAGGCGUAGGUGAUGGACAACAGGUUGAUAUUCCUGUACUACCGAUAACCAUUUGAGAGAAGGGAUGACACAGUAGGAUAAGCUAAGCACACUGUUGGUUAUGUGUGCCCAAGCAUUGAGGCAGUCAAAGUAGGCAAAUCCGCUUUGAUAAUGCUGGGAUGUGAUGGGGAGCGAAAUUUAGUAGCGAAGUAGCUGAUUUCACACUGUCAAGAAAAGUCUCUAUCGAGGUUAAAGGUACCCGUACCGCAAACCGACACAGGUGGGUGAGGAGAGUAUCCUAAGGCCAGCGAGAGAACUGUUGUUAAGGAACUCGGCAAAAUGACCCCGUAACUUAGGGAUAAGGGGUGCCACCAUCAGGUGGCCGCAGAGAAUAGGCCCAAGCGACUGUUUACCAAAAACAUAGGUUUCUGCUAAGUCGCAAGACGAUGUAUAGGAGCUGACGCCUGCCCGGUGCUGGAAGGUUAAGGGGAUCUGUUAGAGCAAUCGAAGCAGUGAACUUAAGCCCCAGUAAACGGCGGCCGUAACUAUAACGGUCCUAAGGUAGCGAAAUUCCUUGUCGGGUAAGUUCCGACCCGCACGAAAGGCGUAACGAUUUGGGCACUGUCUCAACAACAGACUCGGUGAAAUUGUAAUUCCGGUGAAGAUGCCGGAUACCUGCGACAGGACGGAAAGACCCCAUGGAGCUUUACUGUAGCUUGACAUUGGGUCUUGGUACUACAUGUACAGGAUAGGUGGGAGGCUUUGAAACCAGGACGCCAGUUUUGGCGGAGCCAUCCUUGGGAUACCACCCUUGUAGUACUGGGACUCUAACCAUAGGCCAUGAAUCUGGUCUUGGGACACUGUCAGGUGGGCAGUUUGACUGGGGCGGUCGCCUCCCAAAAGGUAACGGAGGCGCUCAAAGGUUCUCUCAGUACGGUCGGAAAUCGUACGUAGAGUGUAAAGGCAAAAGAGAGCUUGAUUGCAAGACAUACAGGUCGAGCAAGGAUGAAAAUCGGACUUAGUGAUCCGGUGGUUCUGCGUGGAAGGGCCAUCGCUCAACGGAUAAAAGCUACCCUGGGGAUAACAGGCUUAUCUCCCCCAAGAGUCCACAUCGACGGGGAGGUUUGGCACCUCGAUGUCGGCUCAUCACAUCCUGGGGCUGUAGUAGGUCCCAAGGGUUGGGCUGUUCGCCCAUUAAAGUGGUACGCGAGCUGGGUUCAGAACGUCGUGAGACAGUUCGGUCCCUAUCCGUCGCAGGCGUAGGAAAUUUGAGAAGACCUGUCCUUAGUACGAGAGGACCGGGAUGGACGUACCUCUGGUGUACCAGUUGUCCUGCCAAGGGCAUGGCUGGGUAGCUAUGUACGGAAUGGAUAAGCGCUGAAAGCAUCUAAGCGCGAAGCCAACUUCAAGAUAAGAUUUCCCACCGCAAGGGUAAGACCCCAGAAAGACUAUCUGGUUGAUAGGUCGAAGGUGUAAGUGCAGCAAUGUAUUUAGCUUAUCGAUACUAAUAGGUCGAGGACUUGACCAAG